AUGGCACAAGAUAAUUCCAAAUUGUGUGAUUUCUCGAACACCAAUAAUAAUGAUUCCCUUAGUACUCCGAUUGCUCCUCUUAAUGAUGUUGAGUCUUGUGAAAUCAAUGCUGCUUUGCUAAAUCUUGUUAUGAAAGAUCAAUUCGCCGGCCUUCCUAGUGAAGAUGCCGCUAUCCAUCUAAACAAUUUUGUUGAUUUGUGUGAUAUGCAAAAUAAGAAAGAUACGGAUAACAAUAUUGUCAAAUUGAAGUUAUUUCCAUUUUCACUUAGAGAUCACGCUAAAGUUUGGUUUUCGUCUUUGCCAAAAAAUAGUAUUGAUUCUUGGAACAAGUGCAAAGAUGCUUUUAUCUCUAAGUAUUUUCCUCCCGCUAAGAUCAUCACUCUUAGGAACGAUAUUAUGAAUUUUAAAUAA
rnacentral:rRNA from 1 species